rnacentral:rRNA from 1 species
GUCCUACGGGACGCAUCAGUGAUUACUCUUGGUCCCUGUGCUUUAGCCUGAACCAGCCAAGUCGCGUGAGGGAAGACGGUCCUAUGGAUUGUAAACCUCUUUUGUCGGGGAGCAAAGAGAUCACGUGUGGUCAAAAGCGAGAGUACCCGAAGAAAAAGCAUCGGCUAACUCCGUGCCAGCAGCCGCGGUAAUACGGAGGAUGCGAGCGUUAUCCGGAUUUAUUGGGUUUAAAGGGUGCGUAGGCGGGACGGUAAGUCAGCGGUAAAAAUGCGGAGCUCAACUCCGUCGAG